GACGAACGCUGGCGGCGUGCUUAACACAUGCAAGUCGAACGAAAAUACCAAGCUUGCUUGGUUGAUUAGUGGCGAACGGGUGAGUAACACGUGAGUAACCUGCCCCUUACUUUCCUGGAUAACUGCUCGAAAGGGUAGCUAAUACGGGAUAUUCUGACCAGCCUGCAUGGGUUGGUUUGGAAAGGUUGUUUUUCUGGUAAGGGAUGGGCUCGCGGCCUAUCAGCUUGUUGGUGGGGUGAUGGCCUACCAAGGCUUUGACGGGUAGCCGGCCUGAGAGGGUGGACGGUCACACUGGGACUGAGAUACGGCCCAGACUCCUACGGGAGGCAGCAGUGGGGAAGAUUGCACAAUGGGCGCAAGCCUGAUGCAGCGACGCCGCGUGAGGGAUGAAGGCCUUCGGGUUGUAAACCUCUUUCGUCAGGGAACAAGGCACUGCUUUUGUGGUGGUGUUGAGGGUACCUGGAUAAGAAGCGCCGGCUAACUACGUG
rnacentral:rRNA from 1 species